rnacentral:lncRNA from 1 species
CCGGCUGCCCCUCUGCCAUCUGAGGCGGAAUUGCGCUCCUUGCUUUUCCUACGUCGCCCAUCUUGCACGGCGCUCUCAGAUGUUUUCAUCUUCAACGUGCUCACCACCCAGCGUCGGGCGAGGCUCCUUCGCCUUGAGAGGUGAAACCCGCACCCUCUCAUGUGAAUACGUGGCUGUCGGGUGGGCCACAGUGGCCCUCUGAACUCUGGGGUCCCGGCCGUCUGGCCCCACUCCAGCUGUCGAGGGCGGGGACCGACGCUCCGCACGCGGGAAUCGCGCUUAUCAGCGACUGAGCUGGCCGUGUUUAGGAGGACGGGGUGAUGCCACUGACACUGAGGGAGGCGUGAAGCCUGAGACGCGCCUGUGAGACCGGGACCGGUGGGGCCGGCGCGCGCCCAGAUUCCAGCUCUGCCCCAGGAGCCUGAAGCCCCCAGCAACCUGCAGUGUGGGCUCUGAGAAACUCGGUGAAACAGGGCUUCCCUGCAGGUGGCCAGCGGAUGGGACAAUCAGGGCAGACUUGGAGGUCUCUGAAGUCUUGGAAAGUCUGAAGGGCAGGCCAGCCUGGGAGAUGGAGGACACACUGGAGUGGCAGGUGCCUCGGGCGGCCGGCUGAGCACCAAAGAGGGACUUCUCACACACAGGUCCGCUUGGUCUCCUACACGCUUGCCCACGCGCUCCGUGGAUGCAGGAGCCGUGGUUAUCCUUGGCAGAAGGUUGAGUAGCACCUGCCUUGCCAGGGACCUGCUCCAAGCAGGCACGUCUGGUGAAUGCUGUGCCAGGCCCUUCCGGGAGCAGCCCCUCCCCGGGUGCCGGGGUCACCUGGCUCUGCCUGCCUGCAUGUGGAUCCCUGCGGGGCAGCGGGCACCCGGAUGACGUGGUUUUCCCUCACUGGAUUGGAGUGGAGUGAAUUUAACCCCCUCGUGGCUGCCAUCAUUUUCACUGUGAGGGAAGAGCAGCCGUGCCGUGGUGGUUUUAGAUGUCGUCUGUGGAGGACAUCAGGCUGACAUCCACGUCCUGGACUCCCCCUCGUUUGGUUUCAGAAUUUCUCUUAAAGACAACAUCAUAUUGUGACCCCAAAGCAUUCGAUAGAAAUAUCAAAAUUUUAAGGCACUUUGAGAAUUAAGAUAAAAUAUCUGUAAAUAUUAUGUCAAAUUUCACCA